GAGUCCCUACGGGGGGCAGCAGUAGGGAAUCUUCCACAAUGGGCGAAAGCCUGAUGGAGCAACGCCGCGUGGGUGAAGAAGGUCUUCGGAUCGUAAAACCCUGUUGUUAGAGAAGAAAGUGCGUGAGAGUAACUGUUCACGUUUCGACGGUAUCUAACCAGAAAGCCACGGCUAACUACGUGCCAGCAGCCGCGGGAAUACGUAGGUGGCAAGCGUUAUCCGGAGUUAUUGGGCGUAAAGGGAACGCAGGCGUGCUUUUAAGUCUG
rnacentral:rRNA from 1 species